rnacentral:misc_RNA from 1 species
GAUGAAGAACGCAGCAAAAUGCGAUAAGUAGUGUGAAUUGCAGAAUUCAGUGAAUCAUCGAAUCUUUGAACGCACAUUGCGCCCCUUGGUAUUCCAUGGGGCAUGCCUGUUCGAGCGUCAUUUGUACCUUCAAGCUUUGCUUGGUGUUGGGUGUUUGUCUCGCCUUUGCGUGUAGACUCGCCUUAAAAUAAUUGGCAGCCGGCGUAUUGAUUUCGGAGCGCAGUACAUCUCGCGCUUUGCACUCAUAACGACAGCGUCCAAAAGUACAUUACACUCUUGACCUCGGAUCAGGUAGGGAUACCCGCUGAACUUAAGCAUAUCAAUAAGCGGAGGA